GUUUGUUUGUAUUAUUUGUAUAAGUGGAGGGUUUUUCUGCAGCUCUGUGUAUAUCUAGCAGUGUGGGAGGCUUCCCUGGGUUUUAGUGGGGACCAGGCUGGCCAGGUACAGCUCAAGGACAUAAGCUGCAACAGGAAGCUGUGGGCUGCUUUACUCCAGUGUGGAUUCCCAUUCCCAAGUGCUGGGAGGAAGUGAUCUGAGCUCACUUCCUCUAUGUGGUGCAAUGCAU